UGGGGAAUCUUGCGCUAAUGCGCGAAAGCGUGACGCAGCGACGCCGCGUGGGGGAUGAAGGCCCUCGGGUCGUAAACCCCUUUCGCCAGGGAAGAAGGGAAACUGACGGUACCUGGAGAAGAAGUCCCGGCUAACUACGUGCCAGCAGCCGCGGUAACACGUAGGGGACGAGCGUUGUCCGGAUUUAUUGGGCGUAAAGCGCGCGUAGGCGGCCCGGAAAGUCGGUUGUGAAAACCCGGGGCUCAACCCCGGGCCUGCAUCCGAUACUUCCGGGCUGGAGGCAGGUAGGGGAGAUCGGAAUUCCUGGUGUAGCGGUGAAAUGCGCAGAUAUCAGGAGGAACACCGGUGGCGAAGGCGGAUCUCUGGGCCUUGCCUGACGCUGAGGCGCGAAAGCUAGGGGAGCGAACAGG
rnacentral:rRNA from 1 species